rnacentral:lncRNA from 1 species
AUGAACUUUGCAGUCUGGAGCUGUGCUUGGUCCCAGAACACGUGGGGAAGCCCAGGCCUUUUUUUUGCAAUAUGUUCAUUCCAAAUGUUGUCUUUCCUCAGGCGUCCUGGCUUUUUGAGACAAUCCUUGUGCGUGCAAUUGUGUAACGCUGAACGCUUUGGAGCGAGUGAGUCUGCUAGAGUUACAAGCUCUCGGCUCUGGGUUAUACCAGAAUCAGAGGAGGCAAGGACUAGGUCUUGCCCGCAGGAAAGAGCAUCAACCCUUCUUGGGGGGGAAAGAGAGCCCUGGCCAGUCCUUGGUCUGAACGUCUCCCCAGCUGUACGUCCACCUCAUCCUGGAAAUGAGCUGCAUGUACUUUCUCUGUUAGGAYUUUUCUCCAGUGACCCAGUUGAUCGCUGGCUGCUGCUGUCACUGGUGUAACCUCCAUGAUGUCUGCAACUUUAAAAGGAGGCACUGUGUUUCUUCUGCUCCUCCAAGAUUUGAGCAGAGUAGCCUAGUGAGACAGCAUUUCCCAAGUAGCUUCGUUUGCCACUGCUCUCCAACCCCCAUCAUCCCGGCUUAGACCCUCAGCUCUGCAUGAAGUGCCCUGGGGCGAAACUUGCUCUCUGCUAAGGCUUUUGGUGAGCUUUCAGCUUGGGCUGUUGAAGGGAGCAUCUCUUGCCAAACAGCAAGAGUGAUUGCCCCACUUCUGCAGUGAGCGUGGUCUCCUGAGGUGUGGGUGUUUAGGGUGAUGUGUGCAUGCGGAGCCCGGGCUGCUGCCUGCCACAAAUGCCCACCAGGUAUGGAUUUGGCAAGGGGAAACAGGGGUCUCCUGAGAGAUUUCUUCUAGGGAGAUGUCUCAGUUUGCACAAGGUGGCAGGCAACUAAACUUGCUAUAGAGUUAAUGUAAAGAGCAGAGCCUUUACAAGCAGGUGCAGAGUGGAGGGAUGGGACAAACUGGAAAGCUGGGGGUUGUCAAAGGGGUACAGAAAUCCCUAAAUGCUCAUGAGAGAUGGGAUCCAGAGCUGCCUCUGCUGCAGCGUUGCCUCCUUGGGGGCCAGCGUUGCUCUGCAUGCUGAAAUUGCACUUCGGGGAGUCUUUUAGCACAGCUGGAGAGAUGGUGGGUCUCGGCACUGAGCCGGCACAGCUGUGGCACUGGUGCGGGCAGGGCUCGGGGCUGGUGCGGGCUUGGUGGCCCUCGGUCCUCGCCUGGCUCCUAAAUGCAGUGCAGCCGUCCCUGGCAGUACCGAUGCUCCCCAGGCGGCCGGGACCAGCCGUAGCGUUUCCUUCUCUUCCCCGUUCCCAGCCAGCAUCGGGCUCCAGCUCUUACUGAAAAGGAAAAGGCGAAGGCCGUGGCUCAGGCGUACGGGAUCRCGUCCGAUUUUCUUUCUGUUAGCGUCUACGUUAGACCCGUGUAUCUUCUYUCGGCUGUUCGUGUCCC